GGCGAUGUAGCUCAGCUGGUUAGAGCGGGCGUUUCAUACGCGCUAGGUCUGGGGUUCGAGUCCCUGCAUCGCUA
rnacentral:tRNA from 1 species